rnacentral:rRNA from 1 species
UACAGAGGGUGCAAGCGUUAAUCGGAUUGACUGGGCGUAAAGGGCGCGUAGGCGGUUAUAUAAGAUAGAUGUGAAAUCCCUGGGCUUAACCUAGGAACGGCAUCUAAGACUGUAUAGCUGGAGUAUUGUAGAGGGUAGUGGAAUUUCCGGUGUAGCGGUGAAAUGCGUAGAUAUCGUAAGGAAGGCCGGUGGCGAAAGCGAACCUCUGGGCAGCAGCUGACGCUGUGGCACGAAGGCUAGGGGAGCAAACGGG